AAAGUCGUAACAAGGUUUCCGUAGGUGAACCUGCGGAAGGAUCAUUAGUGAAUUUAGCGUUUCUCUUAACAGAGCGCGACCCUCCACUUUCUAACUCUGUGAACUAUUUGGUCGUUUGGCGCUGAAGUUACUUUUGUAAUCGAAGCAAUGAACGACGGCUCAUUUUAAACACUAGUACAAGUAUGUAACGAAAUAUCGAAAUAUAAAAAAACUUUCAACAACGGAUCUCUUGGCUCUC
rnacentral:misc_RNA from 1 species